rnacentral:rRNA from 1 species
AUUGAACGCUGGCGGCAUGCCUUACACAUGCAAGUCGAACGGCAGCACGGGGCAACCUGGUGGCGAGUGGCGAACGGGUGAGUAAUGCAUCGGAACGUGCCAUUGAGUGGGGGAUAACGUAGCGAAAGUUGCGCUAAUACCGCAUAUUCUGUGAGCAGGAAAGCAGGGGACCGCAAGGCCUUGCGCUCUUUGAGCGGCCGAUGUCAGAUUAGCUAGUUGGUGAGGUAACGGCUUACCAAGGCGACGAUCUGUAGCGGGUCUGAGAGGAUGAUCCGCCACACUGGAGCUGAGACACGGUCCAGACUCCUACGGGAGGCAGCAGUGGGGAAUUUUGGACAAUGGGCGCAAGCCUGAUCCAGCCAUGCCGCGUGAGUGAAGAAGGCCU